rnacentral:rRNA from 1 species
GAUGAACGCUGGCGGCGUGCCUAAUACAUGCAAGUCGAGCGAACGGACGAGAAGCUUGCUUCUCUGAUGUUAGCGGCGGACGGGUGAGUAACACGUGGAUAACCUACCUAUAAGACUGGGAUAACUUCGGGAAACCGGAGCUAAUACCGGAUAAUAUUUUGAACCGCAUGGUUCAAAAGUGAAAGACGGUCUUGCUGUCACUUAUAGAUGGAUCCGCGCUGCAUUAGCUAGUUGGUAAGGUAACGGCUUACCAAGGCAACGAUGCAUAGCCGACCUGAGAGGGUGAUCGGCCACACUGGAACUGAGACACGGUCCAGACUCCUACGGGAGGCAGCAGUAGGGAAUCUUCCGCAAUGGGCGAAAGCCUGACGGAGCAACGCCGCGUGAGUGAUGAAGGUCUUCGGAUCGUAAAACUCUGUUAUUAGGGAAGAACAUAUGUGUAAGUAACUGUGCACAUCUUGACGGUACCUAAUCAGAAAGCCACGGCUAACUACGUGCCAGCAGCCGCGGUAAUACGUAGGUGGCAAGCGUUAUCCGGAAUUAUUGGGCGUAAAGCGCGCGUAGGCGGUUUUUUAAGUCUGAUGUGAAAGCCCACGGCUCAACCGUGGAGGGUCAUUGGAAACUGGAAAACUUGAGUGCAGAAGAGGAAAGUGGAAUUCCAUGUGUAGCGGUGAAAUGCGCAGAGAUAUGGAGGAACACCAGUGGCGAAGGCGACUUUCUGGUCUGUAACUGACGCUGAUGUGCGAAAGCGUGGGGAUCAAACAGGAUUAGAUACCCUGGUAGUCCACGCCGUAAACGAUGAGUGCUAAGUGUUAGGGGGUUUCCGCCCCUUAGUGCCGCAGCUAACGCAUUAAGCACUCCGCCUGGGGAGUACGACCGCAAGGUUGAAACUCAAAGGAAUUGACGGGGACCCGCACAAGCGGUGGAGCAUGUGGUUUAAUUCGAAGCAACGCGAAGAACCUUACCAAAUCUUGACAUCCUUUGACAACUCUAGAGAUAGAGCCUUCCCCUUCGGGGGACAAAGUGACAGGUGGUGCAUGGUUGUCGUCAGCUCGUGUCGUGAGAUGUUGGGUUAAGUCCCGCAACGAGCGCAACCCUUAAGCUUAGUUGCCAUCAUUAAGUUGGGCACUCUAAGUUGACUGCCGGUGACAAACCGGAGGAAGGUGGGGAUGACGUCAAAUCAUCAUGCCCCUUAUGAUUUGGGCUACACACGUGCUACAAUGGACAAUACAAAGGGCAGCGAAACCGCGAGGUCAAGCAAAUCCCAUAAAGUUGUUCUCAGUUCGGAUUGUAGUCUGCAACUCGACUACAUGAAGUUGGAAUCGCUAGUAAUCGUAGAUCAGCAUGCUACGGUGAAUACGUUCCCGGGUCU